GUCAUCGAGUCGUGAACAAAAUGUCUGGGAUUCGCGGACAGAAACGAGCACGCGCGAAUGCAUCAUACGCCGAAAGCAGAGAACGAGAGAAGGCAGAUAAUAAAGCACGAGACUUGUUACAUUUUUACGCAAAGGCACGGCACAGCCGACCGGGAGGCGUGCGCGGGUGUUGGAGGAGAUGGGAACAAAAAGUGGGAACCUCAGAUAGGACGAGGGUGGAGGCAAAAACGGAAGAUGCGUUCUGGUUUUUCGUUAGAACUCGAGGAACCUGUCUCGAGAUAAUUACACCGUCUUUCCGUGAUUUUAAUAAACGUGUGGGCGAAUGGAAAUAAAGCAACGUCUUGUCGCUGGUAAUUCUUUUAACGAAAUGAAAAUUUAACAGCGAUGCGAAAGAGGAUGAAAGAAACCAACGCUCAGCGUGCCUCCUCCUUAUCCAUCUCACUGAAGGUGACAGUUCAAUGGUCGAUUCGAAGUCAUCGAGGUGAUACGCGCUAAUUUGAUUAAUCUUCGAUUAAUUGGGCGAUUAAUUAGACCAGGAUCGAAGAUCAAUGGUGUUCUACCGUAUCGGGUUCAACGAUGCGUCGCAUAAGCGGACGUAUAAUUUUACCAGGGGCGACGUCUCCAUGUAAACCCUCAUGAACGUGAUCUACUUACGUACGUCGGGGCGCGGUGAUGGAACGUUGAGAUGUACAUAGCUUCUACUACGAACAGGUGAACUCUUUAUUGUGUUCGACUUAAGCAUACUCUUUGAAAGUUUACUGCUCGAGUAUACGAAUUCGUUACGUAUUGGUGUAUACUAGAGAAUAAGAGUGAUCAUACAACGUAAGCUGCGUGACUCAAUCAU